rnacentral:rRNA from 1 species
GCGCGAAAACUUUACAAUGCGGGCAACCGUGAUAAGGGAACCUCGAGUGCCUGUAUAUGCAGGCUGUCUGGGUGUCUAAAACACACCUAAAGAAAGGGCCGGGCAAGACCGGUGCCAGCCGCCGCGGUAAUACCGGCGGCUCGAGUGGUGGCCACUUUUAUUGGGCUUAAAGCGUUCGUAGCUGGGUUAUUAAGUCCCUUGGGAAAUCCGACGGCUUAACCGUCGGGCGUCUAAGGGAUACUGGCAAUCUUGGAACCGGGAGAGGUGAGGGGUACUUCGGGGGUAGGAGUGAAAUCCUGUAAUCCUCGAGGGACCACCUGUGGCGAAGGCGCCUCACCAGAACGGCUUCGACAGUGAGGGACGAAAGCUGGGGGAGCAAACCGGAUUAGAUACCCGGGUAGUCCCAGCCGUAAACGAUGUGCGUUAGGUGUAUCGGUGACCACGAGUCACCGAGGUGCCGAAGGGAAACCGUGAAACGUACCGCCCGGGAAGUACGGUCGCAAGGCUGAAACUUAAAGGAAUUGGCGGGGGAGCACCACAACAGGUGGAGCCUGCGGUUUAAUUGGACUCAACGCCGGAAAUCUCACCGGAUAAGACAGCUGAAUGAUUGUCGGGCUGAAGACUCUACAUGACUAGCU